rnacentral:tRNA from 2 species
AGCUGAAUGGCGCAGCGGAAGCGCGCCGGGCUCAUAACCCGGAGGACGACGGAUCGAAACCGUCUUCAGCUA